rfam:Oryza glumipatula chromosome 1, whole genome shotgun sequence.
AAAAAGACAAACUCUGUGUUUCCGUGUCCAACGUUUAACCGUCCGUCUUAUAUGAAAUUUUUUUAUAAUUAGUAUUUUCAUUGUUGUUAGAUGAUAAAACAUGAUUAAUAUUUUAUGCGUAACUUGUCUUUUUAUUUUUUUCAUAAUUUUAUCAAAUAAGACGGACGGUCAACCUUUGGACACAAAAAUCUAGGGUUUGUCUUUUU